GUGCAUAUGAUGUGAAGUUUAUAUUAACUGAAUACUUGAAGAAUUCAAAGGAACCACUGAUGCGA